UACGUAAGUUGCGAGCGUUGUUCGGAAUUAUUGGGCGUAAAGGGCAUGUAGGCGAAAGCGCAAGUCUGGUGUGAAAGGCAGGGGCCCAACCCCUGGACAGCGCCGGAAACUGCUGUACUAGAGUCGCUGAGGGGCAGGCAGAAUUCCAGGUGUAGGGGUGAAAUCUGUAGAUAUCUGGAAGAAUACCGAUGGCGAAGGCAGCCUGCCAGCAGAUGACUGACGCUGAGGUGCGAAGGUGCGGGGAGCAAAC
rnacentral:rRNA from 1 species